AUUGAACGCUGGCGGCAUGCCUUACACACGCAAGUCGAACGGCAGCACGGGAGCAAUCCUGGUGGUGAGUGGCGAACGGGUGAGUAAAGUAUCGGAACGUGCCCAGUCGUGGGGGAUAACGUAGCGAAAGUUACGCUAAUACCGCAUACGAUCUAUGGAUGAAAGCGGGGGAUCGCAAGACCUCGCGCGAUUGGAGCGGCCGAUAUCAGAUUAGGUAGUUGGUGGGGUAAAGGCUCACCAAGCCGACGAUCUGUAGCUGGUCUGAGAGGACGACCAGCCAGACUGGGACUGAGACACGGCCCAGACUCCUACGGGAGGCAGCAGUGGGGAAUUUUGGACAAUGGGCGAAAGCCUGAUCCAGCCAUGCCGCGUGCAGGAUGAAGGCCUUCGGGUUGUAAACUGCUUUUGUACGGAACGAAAAGGUUGGGCUAAUAAGCUGAGCUCAUGACGGUACCGUAAGAAUAAGCACCGGCUAACUACGUGCCAGCAGCCGCCGUAA
rnacentral:rRNA from 1 species